rnacentral:rRNA from 1 species
GCUGGCGGCGUGCUUAACACAUGCCAGUCGAACGAAGAGCGAUGGAAGCUUGCUUCUAUCAAUCUUAGUGGCGAACGGGUGAGUAACGCGUAAUCAACCUGCCCUUCAGAGGGGGACAACAGUUGGAAACGACUGCUAAUACCGCAUACGAUCUGACCUCGGCAUCGAGGAUAGAUGAAAGGUGGCCUCUACAUGUAAGCUAUCACUGAAGGAGGGGAUUGCGUCUGAUUAGCUAGUUGGAGGGGUAACGGCCCACCAAGGCGAUGAUCAGUAGCCGGUCUGAGAGGAUGCACGGCCACAUUGGGACUGAGACACGGCCCAGACUCCUACGGGAGGCAGCAGUGGGGAAUCUUCCGCAAUGGACGAAAGUCUGACGGAGCAACGCCGCGUGAGUGAUGACGGCCUUCGGGUUGUAAAGCUCUGUUAAUCGGGACGAAAGGCCUUUUUGCGAAUAGUGAGAAGGAUUGACGGUACCGGAAUAGAAAGCCACGGCUAACUACGUG